rnacentral:lncRNA from 1 species
UUCUCUCCAUUCUCUCAUCUCCUCCCAAAUUCCCAACCCUAGCCGCCCCAAACCCUUCACCUCCAUCAACCGGCGGCGCCACCAUAAACAAUCCCAAAUCCGCUCAAAUUUAUCCCCCAUAAUCCCCAACGCCUCCUCAACCCAAAUCCAUCAUCAUUCUGUCCAAACAAACUCACAUGUUCUCCGAAUUUUAGAUCUAGGAAUACAUCUCCUCUUCUUUUUUUUGGCAAAAAUGAAAAUUGUGACACAAAGCAUUAUCCAUUAGAAAUUUUUGGUCAGUGCUUGUGUCAUUAUUUCCAUAGUUAGCCGAAAAUUUAGUUUGGGAUAUGUAUUUAUUCUUCAACAAAGAAAAUCACCAGAUGCGCCCAUGAAAUGACAGAUUUUUCCAACAAUGGCCAAACAUUUGUGUUUGACUCAUCAUUUUAUUUUUUUAUCUUUUAUCUUUUAUUAUUUAUUUUUUGUUUUUAGUAUUAUAAUUGUUAUUAUUAUUUUCUAUUUUAUUUAUUUAUUACUUCUUCUGUUUUUCUUGCCUAUAAUCGAGCCCAUGAUAAAGAGCCCCCAAAAUGGUGAAUGAGCCGUAUAGCCCAGUUCUUUGUCUGGGGGAGGGGGGUUAAUUUUGAAAUGUAAAUAGCAGUAUUUUUAGGGGUACUUAAGGUAUUUAGACUCAAGGAAUCUUUCCAUAACUACUUAGGAAAGAUCUAGGAAAGUGAAGUUUGGGAUGAAUAAGUAAAUAGUACAAAAAUUCAGGUAAAAAACUAUGCAAAAAUAGAUUUCUUAAGGGGUGGUUUUGAAUUUAGAAAUUCUGAUUUGUUGCCUUAGAAAGAGUGUUAUAAAUACACACUAUAGGUUAGGAGCAAAGGACACACGGCAGAAAACAUCACAAAAGCUCACUCAAAUUGUUUUUCCAAAAUUUGAAGCUUCUUCUUUAGCUUUCAAUUUUUUUUUUUGGGGGGGGGGGGGAUUUAUAAGAUGAACAGAUUCUUGAAGCUGUGGUUUUGGGUUUCUUCUGUUGAAUUUCCACUUAAUUUUAGGCUUUCAUUUGGUUUAUUUAGCUGAUUUGGUCACAUUUAGGUAUGUUCUUCAUCUUGUAGUCACCAUGUUUUAAAUCAAUAAAUGCAAAUAUGAUAUUUUAUCCUAUGUUAAUUAGUUUGUUUGUUUUGUUUAUAUCCAUGAUUUCCUAUUUGGGUAAUAUUUGUUUAGGGACAUGUGCUGAAUAUUUGCUUCAUUUAGUUUAGUAUAUGAAAAGCUUGAAAAAUCAGCUUUGAUGCAGUAAACACAUUAGUUUUUCCUAAAUUUGUUUCUGUUGGUUAAAUUUCGUUGCAUUUUUGUUCUGUGUUUCAUAUUAUCUUCUUUGCCUAAGGAAUGAGUACUACCAUAAGACUAUCUUAUUGAAAAUUCAUAUAUUUAUUUAAGGGCUGAAAGUGGCUUAUCUUUGGGCUUUCCCCAUUCUAGUCGUCUCAUCUUAUUAUAUGAAUAUAAUAUUAUAAUUUUGCAAUAUUUUUACGCAACAAAUUAGUUUAUAAACAAAUUUGAUGUCAAUAGUUGAAAAGCAAAAAGAAAAGAACCUAUACAUCUUUACAGCUGUUUGUCAUUUCUUUUUUCAUGUAGUAUAUUUAUAUUACUAAUAUUCACGACUAGUUUACUGUUUCACUGUUUAUAGUUGACGGAUAUUUAGUCUAAUUGCUUAUUUUUAGUUUCAAUUAAUUAGCAUGGCUUGAAUUCCUUGGUUAAUUCUUUCGGCAUUAAGACAUAAGUUUUGCUUCACUAUUGACGUAUUUGGAAUGGUUGUUAGUAUUAAGUAUAUGAGCUCAAAAGUUAAUCAAUAAUUGAAUUACUUUCUAAUUGAGCCAUACACUGUGACGAUCCGUCCAGUCGUCUCAUGAGUUACCACUCCUUUUUUCCAUUUCUGCUUCUUAUUGCUUUGUCUAUCGGUUCUAUAUGUGAUCGGGUUGGUUGGCUCGGGUUCGGAAAGGAUUUGGUAAGGUUUGAGAUACUUAGUCUCUUUUGAGGAAGUUUAAGUUGGAAAAGUCAACUGGAUAUUGACUUAUGUGUUAUAGGGCUCGGAUGUGAGUUUUGAUGGUUCGGAUAGCUUCGGGAGGUGAAUUAGGACUUAGGGGCAUGAUCGGAAUAUGUUUUGGAGAUCCAGAGUAGAUUUAGGCUUGAAUUGGCGAAAUUGGAUUUUUGGCGUUUUCCGGUUGAUAGGUGAGGUUUUUGAUAUAGAGGUUGGAAUGGAAUUACGAUAGUUGCAGUAGUUCCGUUGUGUCAUUUGGGAUGUGUGUGCAAUAUUUCAGGUCAUUCGGACGCGGUUUGUUUGGGUUUUUUAUCAGAAGCUUUCGAAAGGAAACUCUAUUCUUUAAUAGUCCAGCUAUAAAUUCUGCAAGAAUAUUAGGGUUUCCAUAAGGUUUUGCAAUUCUUGUGACAGCAAUGUUCAGUUUUCGGUUUACACAAUUAAAUUCUUUUUGUAAGGUCAUUUUUAAUUCUUCGAUUCCACGCGGUCGACUUUUUAUUAAUAAUUUUAAUCCAAAAUUCAAAUUUUUGAAAAACGAAACCAUUAACUAUUGACUUAGAAUGCAUGAAUGAUUCUUGGAUUUGAAUCUCCAAAUUUUGUUUUCCUAAUGACAUAAGAAAAUACAACUUGAUAUAUAACUAAUCAGUAUGGAUUUUUUCAAUCAAAAAAUCAUCCUGGCGUCGAGCUAUUUUUUCGCAGGACCAUUCAUAGCUAUUACCUUCACACCAAAGAAGAGUUCGACCCAAUGCUUUAUUUCUGUCCUAGUUGAUUCUGAUUCGACAUUAGAAGUAUAUUGAUUUUUUCCCAAUAACCGAAUACUUUUGUCUUUAAAUACUGCAUAUUUGAUUCCAUCUAUAAAUCGAUUUUCUUCCUUAUGAGUUAAAGUCUCAAUAAGAAUGCUAGUUCUUACUGUUCAUUAUGAUAUGAAUAUACCACAUCAAUUCGUUAUGUAUGGAUGAUGAGAUUCCAUUGAUACAAAGCCAAUUCCAAUAGACUUAUUGGAGGGUCCCAUUGGCGUGCAUCCAGUAGGAAUUUAGGAUACAUUCUGGGAAAAUCAAACUUCCAUCGAAGAGAAGCAAAUGAAAGGCUUUCAUAAAAAUUAAUUUAGAAGAUUUUGGAAUUCUUAGGCUUGAAUUCGAUGCAAAUAGGGUGUUUUGAUAUUGUUUUGAGUGUUCCGGAGGUUGUAACAAGUUUGAAUGAGGUUAUGAGAUAUGUUGGCAUAUUUGUUUGAGGUCCCUGGGGCCUCAAGUGAGUUUCGAGUGGUCAAUCGGACCAUUUCAUGUUGUUGAGAAUUGUAGCAAAACUGUUGAGUGUUGCAGAGAAAUUAGACCUUCGCGUUCGCGAAGGGUUAGCUGGUGAAGGUUAGAUUUUAGCCUUCGCAUUCGCGAAGGGCUGGGGUGAGGUGCAUCGCGUUUGCGAGGUGGAGUCGCGUUCGCAUAUAGAAAAUUGAGCAGCUGGGGUGGAAGUUGUUUUGUUCAUUGCGUUCGCGAGAGAGGGAGUGCAUUCGCGAAGGGUUAAGCGGAUGAGCCAUCACAUUCGCGAAGAGGAAUUUUUAGUCAAAGUUAUUUUGUGCUUCGCGAACGCAAGGCAUGGACCGCGUUCGUGAAUAAGGAAUUGAGGCCUGGGCAGAAUGUUUAAAUAGUCAUCUUGUCCGCGAUUUUGGGGUUUAUUUCCACCAUUUUUGAGCGAUUUUGGAGCUUUUUGAAGAGGAUUGAAGAUGGAUUCAAGGGGAAACACUUGGAGGUAAGAUUCAUGGACUUAAUACUCGAUUCUAAUGUGAAUUCUACCUAAUUAAUCAUGGAAAUUAAGCAUAAAAAUUGAAGAACUAGGGCUUGAAAUUGGAGACCUAGAAUUUGGAAUUUGAGGGAUUGUUUGUGGUUGGAUUUUGAUGCUUUUUGUAUGAAUGAACUCGGGGAGUGAUGUGUCGGAGAAUUUCGGCACAUUUAAUACAAAUUGCUAAGAUUUUAUAUUGUUUUAAAUGCAAUAAUCUUUUAUACUUAUGUAAAUUUAGUGUUUUUGCAGUGUAUGAGGUUUAACGACCUAAGAGAAUGGAAAUGAAAUAAAAAAGGCACAAAAAGGACAAGAAAAGAGCAAAAUGCGAUCGCAGAUGUGGAAAUGCGGACUUCAAAUCCAACAUGCGUACCGCAUAAUGCUCAAAGGAAUCGCAAACCCUAAUAGUUUGUUGGCCAAAGUCCAGUGUAAGAAAUGCAGUCCAGUAUGCGAUCACAUAAUAGGUUUGCGGGCCGCAUAAUGGACUGCAAACUCAUUGUGAAAGAUGCUGAAGGUGGAAAAUGCGAUGGGAAAUGCGAUCGCAUAUCUACAAUGCGGACCGCAGAAUGUGAAUGCGAUGAAGGCCUGGAAACUAGGGUUUGAAGAUGCGAUGGCCAUGACGAGAAUGCGGAUCGCAUGUCUGUUAUGCGACAGAUGUGCGGUCGCAUAAUUGAACUGGAAGGGUAUUUUUGUCCGAUUUUGGUCCCGAGUUUUGACCCACUAUAAAUAGAUUUAUUGGUAUUUUGUGGGGGCAUCUUGUUUGGUUUUUGUGCUACAAUCCAUGUCUUUAAUAUUCCUCUCUUUUGGAAGCAUUUGAAGGAAUAAUCUUUCACUUUGUAAGCUUUAUGGCAUUAAAUAUUCUCAUCCUUUUGUAUUUUAGCAUGUGUAGCUAACUUUACAUACUAAGGUUGUGGACCCUAAAUGGGUGUUAUGUUAAUGAGUGUUUAACAUUGAAUAUAUGUAUAAUGGUUGGUUGAUAUAUAUUUAUUUCUCAUUUUUCAUUUAUUGUUGGUGGUUGCAAACAUUAACAAGUGCCAUCAAAUUCUUUCUUUACUUGGAAAAGUGAGUUAGAAUUUGGUAGAAGUAAAUAUCAAAGACUCAAGGCUUUAAACCUUCAAGACUUUAAACCUUGUUUAAUAGAAUCACUUAGGAAUACGUGGAUUUUAUUUGGCAUAUAUUGAUUGUUCUUAAUAGCAACUCUUUUUUAUUUGGAAAAAUCAUAAAGAGGAAAUACUACCCAACUAUUGAAAAAUAUUGGGUAUUCAUUUAGAAAUCAAUUGCAUAUCUAAAGAACCUUCCAUUAGAAAUAUAUUACAUUAACACCGAUAGCAUUACAUUUCAUUGAAGGGGACACAACCUUGGUUUCCUUAAUCAAACUAUUUACAUUCUCAACAUUACAAUUAGUUAUUUCUUCAAAUCACAAUUAUAUCAUACUCUUGUUACAAUUAAUCGAAUAGAAUUAUGACAUAAGUCAAGUAACACACUACUCGAGUAACCUUUUCACGCCUAUUCCUUGUGGGAUUCGACCCCAACCUUGUUGGGUUAUUAUAUUUGACACCGACCGCCUUACACUAUGUAAUUAAAGUGUAAUUUGAGCAUAUUAGGGAUUGAUAAGGAAUCCAUUGAUGUGAAUUUUAUCGAAUUUCGAGACGUGGUCCAGGGGAUCAGGUUUUGGUAUUUUCGGGAUUUAUGCUAUAAAUUGAUUAUUUUUGCUUGGGCUUCGUUCUCUUAGCAUAUUUUGACGUCGUGGUUCAAAUUUUGGAUAGAUUCGACGUGAGUGGAGGUAGAUUUGAGGGGCAAAGGUGUCGCGGGCUAGAGUUUGGAUUAGAUUGAGGUGACUAAUGAUUGUAAAUGAUGUCAUGGGGGUAUGAAACCCCGGAUUGCACAUCGUGAUGCUAUAUUGAGGUGCCGCACACGCUAGAUGACAAGCGUGGGGUCGGGCACCUUUGGGGAUUGUGACUUAGUCCAUCCCGAAUGACUAUUUUAUCAUGUAUUUGAAUGAAAACUCAUUGCUAUCAUCAUAUUUUGGGCUGAAUGCCAUAUUUGGGCUGAAUGCCAACUAUUUGGACCCUUAGGGAAUUUUUUACUGAUAUUUCCUCACUAUUUUGACUUUAUAAUUGAACUCAGUCAUGCUAUAUUCUACUGUUUUCAUAACUCAGCCAUGUUUACAAUACUUUAAUACUUAAAAUGAUAUUUUGGGUUGAGCAUCAUGUUUUACUUUUGCCCGAGUGGCUUAUGAGAUUCUGACUGAGUAAGGACGAGGGCCUACGUUGUGAGGAUACACUAAUUAUGAUUAUGAGGCCGAGGGCCAGAGUUGUACGCCACGAGGUGGCUUGAUAUGAGGUCAAGAGCCUAGUGAUGAUACCACGAGAUGGCUUGAUAUUGUGCUUGGGUCGUAAGGGGCCCCUCCAGGAGUCUUCAUACCCCGAGUGAGUGCGGGUACCCAUUGUGAUGUGAGAUAUAGACCGAGGGGCUGGUUUUGUUUCUGAGAUAUUGCCCAAGGGGCGGAUUGUUGACAUUGUGCCCGAGGGGCGAUCCUUUAUGUGUUAUCUUUCCUGUUUGCAUGUCAUUUACUUGCUUAAUUGUUAAAAAGGCAUUUUAUGAUGUUUAAACUGAAUUCAGUGACUUUACACAUCUUUACUGCCUCACUGUUUUUACUAGAUUUUACUGCUUCCUUAUAGCCUGUUAUGUGCCUUACGUAAUUUCGUACUUCUCAGUCUUUAUUUAUGAUUAUUACUCACUGAGCUGGAAUACUCACUUUACUCCAUGUACCCCGUGUGCAGAUUCAGGCAUUGCUUAUCCUACUAGUGGGUUGAGAGCUCCGGGCAGAUUUCGGAGUUCAUGAGGUAGCUGUUUGGCGUCCGCAGUCUCGUGUUUCUCCUCGUUUAUCUCAUUUCUUUCUCUUUCAGUUAUUCUGUGAUAGUUUAUAGACAUUUAAGACUUGUAGUAUAUUGAUAGAGGCACAUGACUAGUGACACCCCGGUAUCGGGCUGUGUUGGGUUUUAUUUCCGCAAACCGUAAUGUUCACUAUUUAUCAUUUUGGGAUUUAUUAUUAUGAUGUUUAAG